UCUAAAUAUAGACCCCUCAUACAGUCAGAAAGAAUUUAGGCUGACCAAACGGGAGCCCAGUGUCGCAUCAAGCAGCUGUCAAAGACUGAAAAAGACAACUGUGAACCUUGGACACACUCAGAGAAAACAUAACGGCACACAAGUUUGGACAACAUGAGGGAGUGAAUAGUACCUGUAGCGGUGAGGACACACGUCUUCUUGCAUUGUUCUUCUGUCUGGAAGCGGUUAUCGUUGCCCUGACAGCCUCCGUACCAGAACUGAGCACAAGCGUUUGCCUGUUUGUCGUAGUACCAGCGAAUGACGUAGUCUCUACAGGAGCCCUGACUCAGACUGAGCGAACACCGGGGAUCCAGAGGAGCUGAUUCUGACCAAAAAAGAGAAAGACGAGGCUUUGCAUUUACAUUCACUGAAGUAGAAUGUGUUGAUACUGAUGAAGAUACUGAUGAUGAAGAUGAUGAUGAUGACGAAGAGGUUCCUGGCUGUACAGGUUAAAAAGUCCCACUCACCUUUGGACCAGGCAAACCGUAACCAGUCUCUCCAAUCGGUCCGGGAGGACCAGCGGGACCCACAUCACCCUGAAGACACGAGAAGAUGAAGUCAUAGCAUUACUUCUCU